AUUUCGUAGAAUUGGUUUCAUGAAGUAUUAGGUCAAAACCAAAUGACUUCAAGAUGGAAGACUUUGAAACGAGAGAACAACACAAUGAAAUAAGUAUUAUUAUACAUUUAUUUAAAUGAAAAUAUGUUUUACGAAACAUAAGACGUGGUUUGAUUGCCAAUAAAACGAAUAACAUGGAAAUGUAUUUUCAAGAAGAACUUACG
rnacentral:lncRNA from 1 species